rnacentral:tRNA from 1 species
GGGUGUGUAGUCUAGUGGUUAUGAUUUUUCCUUUACACGGAAACGGUCCUCAGUUCGACCCUGAGCACGCUCA